GUUACUGUUAAUAACAAACAUUUAACAGCUGCCAAGCAAUUUCUAAUUUUCAUUAGACAGUGUUUAAAGUCAGUUAUUACUGUGAUUAUGCUUCCAUUGAAUAAUUUUAUUAGGUAAAGAUAGUGGGAUAAUUGUAGGACUAUUGAGGAUAAUAAGGCUUAAAAGAUGUUUAUCAAGGAAGGCAAACAUCUUUACCAUUUGAAAGUCUGUGAAUCAGGUUGGUUCCUAGUUUGGAUAACAUUUUAACUUGGAGUGACUUAAUAGAACCAUUGUCUUUCAUUUCACGGAUAACAGAGUUAACAAUGUUGAAAAUAACUAGAGAACGUGAUGUUUCUACAUAUUGAUUCGUUUGCUUCAAAAUAAAUAAAGACAUUGAUGAACUUUUCAUGAGAUGGAUAAUUCAUGGCAAUUUGAUUUGAAGUACAGUCACAUGGAAACUUUUGAUUUAUUUUUAGGUGUAUUCUUCAAGUAAAUCAGCUUUUCAAUUUUACUUUUAAUUUACUGUAAUAAAAACAUAUUUUGCUACUUUAUGAAGCGCUAAUCUUAUGUUGAGCAUAAUUUGCCUAACAAGCAUAAUAGAAUAGGAACGAAUGACAAGAAAAGAUACCAAUUUUAGGAUUGUCAAACAAAUGCAGGAAAGACAGAAUUACAUGUUGGGAAAAAUUGUACAACAGUCGACAUUAAUUAUCGAAAUCGUCAUCAAGAUUCAGUAUGUUACGGAUAAUUUCGUAGCUAUAUUUUGUCAAUCGUUUACAUUUACUUUCAUCACAGCAGUUAUCAGUAUCAACGCAAACCAUAAAAUGAGCAACUAAUUCGUGUUAACUUCACUCGGCAGGAAAAUUUGCUGGCUAAUAUUGAAAUCAGGAGUGAUCGCCUCAUAGUCAACCCAAUUUAUGCAAGAUAUUGCAUGGUAUUCUGCUACUUUAAAUCAUCCGCAUCAUAACUUCACCCUUGUACAAUUUAAUUCUGACAAGGGAAGUGACCUUGCUUGUACGGUCAUUUUCAAUUUUUUCAGGCUUAUAUUGUAGAGGACGAAAAAUAAUUCGACACUUAUUUUGUUUUUUUACACCGGUGCGCGCUUAUUGAUAUUGCGGCCCUUAUAAGUGUGGAUAUUGCAUUGAAGCCUAUUGGAGUCACUGAAAAAUAAUUCACAAUUUCAAUUGAGAUAUUUUCAUUUGUUUUAUGUGCUUCUCAGUGACCGAAAUGCAAUACAUAGAAAAUUGUUCGUUCUCUUCUAUUUUUGAAUCGAUUAGUUUGCAGGCUACUUGACGAUCCCAGCCACAAAUGAUUGGUAUUGCGUAUGGAUUAGUGUCACGAUAUUUUGAAAUAUCUUUAUAGGAAACAUUGAUGCAGCUUGGAGAGCAACGAUGUGGAACACGAACUGGACUUGACACUAAUAGAUUAGCUUUAGUUAUGCAUUCUGGGUAAAGUUCAAAUUCAACUUAGUUACUAUUCAUAAUAGAUUCAAGUGAAUUAAGACUUUACCCAAUCUUGGUAGAGCUAUCUUCUUCUCGGACAAAUUGAACAUAAGGGUGUUUUUUUUGGCAUAACCAAGAAUCGAAGAUUGGCUGUUUCCUUUUCUUGAAACUCUUUUUUUUACUGUUGGUUUCAGCAUUUUAGAGUGCCUUCAAAGACCUGAAAGAGGUUUGAGUCAAGGUGAUUCUCGGUAGAGCUAUUCAUAUUUUUCAAAUUGCUAAAAUAAAAUCUAACCAAACAGCAGUUACUUUGUAAAAUACAAUCAAAACAACUAAAAGUAACACAAAAUUUUACCCGCGCGACCAGAGGUUAGCUGAUCAAUUUUCUUAAUUGCUAAUAGAUGGAGUUUAACAGGUUUUGUCUUGUUAUGAGUCUUAUUAUUUUGAGGAAUCAAAUGUAUUGCUGUUUUGGAUAUUUGUCAUGUUUCAGUUUGACUAUCCAAACAAAAAUGAAUUGGUGAUGGUUGAACACGAAACACUAGUCUUGAAUUAUUAAUGUGUUUAAUUUUACUGAAACUUGAUACUGAAAAUAAGUGAAUCCAAUCAACGAAACAGUUCAAGGAAACCGUUCUGCAUCAAGUUGAAGUCCAGCAAAUCCAAUUGGAGAGCUAUUUUUGAUGUUACAAAAACGCUGCCGAAAUUGAUCACUAAUCUUGAAACAAAGCAAGCUAUUUUAAAGAGUAACCGUGACUGAAUGCUCAAAAGAAACCAAUGAGUUGAGGCGAAAGCGAAUAAGAUUCAUGUGAAAAUGAUGACUAUAAUCAAUCUGAAAGAAAAUGAAACUUCAUGACUUGAGUUUCAAUAAAUUAACUUAAUUGAGCUGUUUUCCCCCGUUUAAACAAACUAAAGCUGUUUUUUUUAUCAAAGCACAAAGAGUUGGCUUGGCUUUUUGGUAAUUUUACACUGGUCAAGCUGCAUUACAAAGCAAAAAUGUGAUCAUCUUCCAUGCUUAUCAGAUUUUCCUUGCCAUUAAGAAACCAGAAGGAGGAACAAAAUCAUCGGUGGCUGAUAGAAUGGAAUCAUGAGCAAAGUUAUUUCUUCCUUGGUUUAAAAAGAUUGCAAAUCAAACGAUGUCUGCCAAAAAGAAAAGAUUUAUCAAACAUGAAAAUCUUUUACUGUAGGAGUUGCCAUUACUGAAAAUAAUGCAGAGCAGUAGCACGAUAUUAAACACAACAAAAAGUUGAUGAUCUACAAAAGGAACCAGCAACAAAGCCAAGAGAAGGCAGAUAGCAAAAAUCGCUGAGUUUCAAUCAAAAAUAUUCUGGUAUUCUGGAUUAGACUUGAGUUAUUGUGGCCUCCAUGUGGGUUUGAAAGGACAAAGGAAAGCUAAUUUAAAGGAAAGAUUGUCUAUCCAAGGAGCAAAGAAAGUAGGAAGAAAUAACUGUGAUCAAGAAGAUGGUAAAUGUCAUGGCGAUAUCUAAUCAAAGAUUGGAAUAAAGACUGUAAAGAAAGUGUUCAUUGGUCUGGUUGAUGGAAAAGCAAAGAGCAAUUCAUCUGUGCCAUUGAGAGGGAAAUGAUGAAUUGACAGAGAAAAGGUUUUCGAUGAACGGGUUUCAAGAUGAUCAAAUGGCUAUUAGAUUGGUUUUUUAGAGUUAAAUCGGAUAAAAUUGGCCUAGACUGAAAUGAAAUAUGGUUUAGGUCCAUUGAUCUUUAAUGCUUGGAUGAUCUUGUUCAUAUUAUUUGGUAGUUUUUAUCUCUUCCACUCCAUCUACAUCAUCGCCAUCAUUUUCAUCAUCUUCAUUUCUUCAUUGUUUAAUGGUACUCGUUCAACUCAGCAAACAUCCUUCUUCCAUCUCCUCCCUUUUCCCACUCUUUCCCUCAUCAGCCUCAGCCUCAUCUCUCUCAACUCAUCUCACGUUCUCCUAUUAACUCUAAACUCACUAACUCACUAUCACAUUGAGACCUGCUUUUUUUACUUCUUUUUUUUCUUCAUUUAAGCUCGUAGUCUCCAAGAAUUAUCAUCACCAGUGCCGAUCCUCCUCCCUCACCUUCCAUGGACUCAAGGCCUCUAGUCUAUGAAGAGUUAUCUUGAUUUUUCUUCAACUUUUGUCAGGUCGGCUAUCGCCAGAUUCAACUCUUUAUUGCAAUUAGUUCACAAAAUCGCAUCAUGAACAGACUCAUUGUUGUCAUCUUUGUAUUCAUAGCAUUCAGUUGGUGUACGAAAACAAGUUCAGCUCAUAAUAGUCAAGAAUCAUAUUAUGAAAUUGCCGAGAAAUGUACAGUACCAAAGAAUCCGCCUUACAUUUGGAUAAAGGCAGUUACCAAAAAUGCCAUUGUGCUGGGUAUCACCGAUCCAAAUGAUCCAGGCCAAGUAACGGGUUAUUCAGUUUAUUAUUGGGGCCUUCGCUAUGGAGUUAACUCUACAAUCGAUCGUCGAAAUCGUGAUUUUGGUCAACGCAACUUCAGUACAAAAGGACCAUUUGUGAUUGAAAGAUUAAAGCCAAAAUUCAUCUAUUGUGCUGAUAUAACUGCCUACAACUCAUGUGGCCAUGGACCAUUCUGUGUUUCAUGCUUUGAAAAUAUUCUGACCUGGCCUGAUGCUCAUCUUAAUCAUACUCAUUCUAUUUAUUCCAAUUGAUAGUUAUUUUAAAAUCAAUCUUUUCAACAUUUCGUUCUUUUUUCUUUUCUUUGGUUCACCAUUCUCGAUAUACAUCAAGUCCGAUCAUUUUUCUUUCGCCAAAUCAACAAAAAUAAACACCAUCAUCACCACCAAUUCAAAGUUUAACCGAUUAACAAGUUUGCUUUGUUAUUUCUUUUUCUAUCAUUUAUAUUGAUCAACUUUCCAAAAAAUUGGAUCUCAACUCGUUCCUUCGAGAGGUUCAUGACGAGACACUUUUGUCUGUAUCCAAGGCUGGAUAAUCUGUUUGAUUGAUCAAUUCAAAACAACUGGGCUAAACGUUUGCUAUAACAAUGGCAAUCUUUGUCAACUUUCAGUCAAGGUUUUCACAGCUCGUUCUCAACUUGUGACUGUUCCGUGUUGGUUAUCCAUUUCGAGGUUAUCCAACCAGUGUAAAUAUCUUCCAUGUUUGCCUUUCUUCCGCCUCAAAAAUCAGACUCAUUCUUAACCUUGUCAGUAAUAAUCUGGUUGAUGCUUACUUUGUUAAUGUGCUCUAGACCAAUCAAUCACUGAGACCAUUGUGAAUUGGAGUAAAUAAAAAAGUUAUCAUUAGUAAAUAUGAA